GCACCAACCAUUGUCGUCUGCGUCCUGAUUGGCUGUAUACUAUCGUCAAUCAGUGUCCUGCAUGCCUGCUGUGAUCAUGGCUACCGAACUAGCUAACCGUAUGAACUAGCUAACCGCCAAUACCGUAAACAAUAGAAUAAACGGAAGAAGCUAACCGUGUGAAGAAAAUACGACAACAGGAGAAAUAUGUUUCAACGAGAAUACAAAAGCAGCAAAGUACAGCGGAACGGCACCACGACAACAAACCAUGAUAUCACACAACUCUGACCGAGCACCAGGACAACGUGAGAGGUGUCCUGACUGGGCUACCAAUACUCUACACACAUAUGGCAGAAGCUUCAUCUUGUUUCCUGAAAUCAGCAAACAACAAUCAAGUUAAGCAGUUCCCUUUGACUUGAUGGGAAUCGCACAUGAGACCAAAGCGUCACCUCUCGCCGUGGCCUUGUGCAGCUCUCGCUCCUGAACGAAGCCGGCGAACAUCUGCGACUCCAUGAAAAGCUGCAGGAACUGACGCACGCCGCGGGACGGGUGAGACUUGCGGAAGGUGUCGCGUUGAAGCUCCCUGUUGCCCCCGGAGGACUCGACCAUGUGGAGAGGGUAGUGGCCCACCAGCUCCACAAAGAAGCGCACAAAGGCCUCCGACACCAGCGAGCACAGGUCCACCGUCUCACCUGGAUGAUUGGGACGUGCAUGUUAAACGACUGAGUUUCUUCCUCCUUAAUUGACUAGGCUAAAAUCCAAAUAAAAAGUCAACACAGACCUUCAGUGUCAUCUCCAUCCUCC